UAAAGAGUCUCGUCAAGUGUGCGCUUAUCACUAAAUGAUCAAUGUUGGUGGUCUUCGUUUCUCGAUUAUCCUAAAGAAACCUUAAAUAUUCAAUGAAAUCCAAUCCAUAAAUAGUACUCAAAUCAGAAAAAGGGCUCUCAAGCUCAGUGUUGCAGUUUUUGAAUUUCGAGCAGUAAAAAUCCUAUCUUACUUAAAGGAUGAGUCAGCGUGGCCGUGGUUGCUGCCCAGGCUGCAGCGCAGAAUAUUUUAACAGAUCGAAACCGCCAAAUUGUACAAUGUGUGGAUACGCGCUGGGAGGAAGAUACGAACAAACUUCAAAAAAGAAGAAGUCUCUGUGUCCCUUAGCCGUCAAGCUUACAGAAUGUGACUUCAGCGUAAAAACAAGCAACAGAGAUGACCGUUGUUUUGUUUCAACAAAUGAAAUUCUCUGGUUUUGCAGUGUCGAAGAAUGUAAAGUGAAGAGGUCAUUGUUUGAAAAUUCCUCCCGCCUGGAAGAGUUUUCGUGCAAGCACGUGCAGAAUGCUAAGAACAAUUCCGUGGAUCCGUUAGCCGUUCUGACACCUCACUUGACGACUUUCCUUUGCAGUAAUUCGGUCAGAGAGCAACUGAAAGCCAUCGUUGAAGAAGAUAGCAAUCGACAACCAGUCAUCCAAGUGUCAGAAACUUCAUACGUGGUGUUAGGGUCCGCCACGGCAAGCAACCCAUUAGGCUACUGCCAUGUUCGCAAGAGCUCCAAGCGUGAUGGAGAAUAUGUGUGCGCAGGGAAAGAUUGCCGUGGCUAUUCCUCAAGAGCCAAGCAAAAGAAAACAAAGUCGAUGUGCCAACACGUACUUUUACUGCGUUCCUGCUUGCAGCCAACUGAGAGUGCUGCACCAUCUGAAUCUAGGUUUCCAAUUUCAACCCCUUCAUCGAUCCCUGAAUUACCAGCUCAGUCUAGUAAAUCGCAAACCAAACGAGCUUCAACUCUUAAUUUAGCAGAAAAGAACAGAAAAAUGCCAUAUAACAUCCCGCGUGAUAUACUUAAAAAAAUUGCGAUGAGAGACGCUUGUACAUUACUUAAUGUACAGGGAGGAUGGCCCGAUCUGUUUAUCCCAGCGGAAGAGACCUGUCAGCUUUGUGGGACGUCACUAGGAAUGCCAAUUGACCAUCCAGGACCACAUACGGAUCAGCCGUCGUAUCUUAUCACUGAACUGAAUCCUUUCAGAAAGGUCCAAUUGAAGGUGAAAUUUUGUCAAUCCAAUGAAUGUUUGGCAAUGCAUCAGGCACAAGUUGAAAAACUAGGAUUGUUCAACAUCAGUGAUAAGAUUUUGGUUUCGUUUGAUAUCCUUCUGGAGUUCAGAGAAUUUUUCAAAAAGGGACACCCAAUAGGAAACGUCAUAGGAGCUAAGUUGAUGACAAUGAAAAGAAAGUGUAAAGGAGAAAACAAUCCGACGGACAAUCAAAUUGUAUACAUGGAAGAUCUGCUAUACAAUGGAUUUUUUAGUUUUGAGUUGGUAGCACAAAGGAGCUUGGAUGAUGUGAUAUGUGGAGUUUGUGGAAUUUCUCCAGAAAUAUAUCUUGGAGAUAGAAAUGAAAAGAACUGUUGCACGAAUAGCCAGAUCGUUUAUACGAAAAAGGGAGAACCUCAAAAGUCCAUGAUUUCCUUGGAAGAAUUACUUGCUAUUCUAAGACGUCGCUGGCUAGAGAAAACUGUUUAUACAAGGAUUCAAGAACCUUUUUCAAUAGCGUUAGAGCAAUUGCCACCACUUAUACCGCCUAGCUUGGGAAAUGAAAAUAUUCUCAACACUGAAAUUUGCAAGAAAAGUGUUUACCUAAAGUCAAACACGCAACCCACAGGUGACCCUGCCCUUCUUCAUAAAAUGAUUGUUAGUGGUUCCAUCGAAAUGGAGAAAAUUAGCAGCUAUACCAUGGAAGAUGUCGUUCGAGCUUGUUCAGCGUGNGGAAUACCAACUUCAGGAAAAUCCAAGGAAUAUCUGAGUGGAAUGUUGAACAGUUUGUAUGAGGCAAUAUUGGUUGGUGUCUGCCCUUGCCAUGGAUUUGGUAGCCUCCCAGGCCACACCGGAGGAUUUUAUCAUAUUGUCUGUCGUCAUGGGACAACAGUUGCAUCAAAGUUCCUUACUUUAACGGAAUCGGUGAGGGAUGCUGCAGAUUUGUACCUUUCUUUAAAGUACCCACCUACUGUAUUCAUAAAUGACACCCCANGUGGGUUUGUACGUCACCUUGAGUGCAGAGAUCCAGCAAAAGCAAAGCAAUUAUGGGGAGAUAAUGCUGGUUGUUUUGAGAAACCCGAGGUCGGAAAGGAACCAUGCAAGGACCAAAAUGUCCCAGAGCUUGUAACCCCAGAGUACAGCGAUAGCUCUCUUGAUGGACGUACUGGGAAACAUUUCGUUCUUGGGGACAGAUUUCACGCUGCUGCAGAACCCCAUAAAUCCCCUCUUUGCGAAUAUCACGACAUUAACUUAUGUCUUCAAGCGAAUGCCAUUAAAACAAGCACACAAGAGUNGCAGAAUAACAGAAAAAACACAAAGAGAUUAAGAAGCUCAUGUAUGCAGAGCUUUGAAGUGCACAUCUUAUAUAAUUACUUAAUGGACUAUUACCAAAAUGAGGAAAUUGUAACGAAACAAAGAAAGCUCUUAGAAAAUCAUUUGGGUCGAGGUCAAACUUUAGUAAGAGACGACUUACUUAGGUUUAAAAUAAAUGUAGAAUAAAUGCAAUUGCCCUAUUUCAUAACAACGUCAAAUCAAGCUAUUGUUUUUGACUGGGGAUCAUGGUCACCGGAGGGGGAUGGAAAGACACAGCACAUUUAAAUCACAAUAAAAUUUGGUUUAUGAGCUGGUAAAGGCAAGAGCAGCAAAAUAUGACGCUAAAUAUCUCGAAAUAAGAGAAUUAAGCUUNAAUUUAGAAUAAAUUUAUUGUUUUCUCCCACUGAAGUUUGUUUACUACGACUAAAGGUCAGUCUAGCCNCCUUAGCAGCCACGUUCUUAGUGUAGAGAAGUUGUUGCGUGACGACCCUAAUGUCUGCNAAGAAGGAUAAGGUCAGUCANAUCAAAGCAGCUUUAUUCGAGGNUAAUAAAGCACCAGCACUAUUUCAAUAGCAGAGGAGACUCUAACCCCAACAAUUCACACUAAAUUUCGCCCGGACAAGAAAUAAAAACAUGCUACUAUACUACCUUGCCUGAAGUGCUUAAUCAACCAGAAACUCGAUCAUUCGGCAUUAUAAUAACUUUCAAAUACGGAAUUCAACUCGAGAGAGGUUUUGAGGCUUCUUAACUUUUCUAUUAGGAUACUUCCAAAUGACGGAAGGGUACAAUAAAGUAAAUAAAGUUUAUAAUCGACNAGGUUUAUAAUCUCUAUGUUCGAGUGUGCUACAACAGGAGUUUACUUUAUUGAUACUAACAUAUUCGCUUACAAAUAUACCGCUAGCCUGUGAACGCCGAAAAUCCAUUACCUAGAUUGGCUUCUCAACCCUUUUACAAAUCACGAAACUGCGAUCGUGAAGUCGGACUCGAAAGAUGAAUUUGGAAUACAAAGUUCAAAAUUAUAUUCGUAGAUUCCAANGUNGCCGGAGUCUUAUCAAUAUGAUACGUCUUUCCAAUUGGUGGACAACCCUGACCACCGCUAAGCCUAUGUGAACCAAUCAGAAUCACGCUUGCAAACAGUGAAGCCUAACAGACUUCAACACGGUUUUACUAUUGUUUUCUAUAAUUUGACUCAAUAAUGUGUUGGGAAUGAGGUAGGGAAUGGUGUUUUGCAUGUUUAACUUCAUGGUGGAGUCACGGCUUAUGUUCACUGUAUUUUCAACAGCUUGAGUGACGGUAGGUGCAGCACUUGAAGAUGACUUGUCGCCAGUUCCAUCAUUUUCUGUUGGCUGGUCUGUAAUACAUAGUAAAACAUGGACGAGAGACAUAUUUCUCUGUGUUUGAAAUGUUUGGUCUUACUGGAGUGCAUCUUGCACUCCUGGCAAGAACUAACAAUUUUUCUUUGCCCUUUGUUUGUGGUCGUUUUCACGUGGCAAUAUCCAAUGGAAUUCGUAGAAGAAGCAAAUCCAUUGAUACNAUAAGAGCUCUCUGACACUUGGACUCUAGAUGAAAGUAAAGAAGUUUGCAUCACAUUUGAGUGUGCUUUUGGUCAGCUGGGCACACUUGUAAGAAGAAAUAAGUUCCUCGGAUCGUUGAUAAAUUGUGAGUGGUGAAACAGCUCCCGUUAACUUUGAAGUGUGGGGGCAUGAGAAUUGUUGUGGGUUUUGGCUGUUCACAUGCAGAGAUCUAGAUUGAAGGCAUUUAUUUAGAAGGCACCGACAAAUACCAUCAUCCUCAAUGACAAAACACCUGGAAUCUUUUCGUGGGCCUUAACGGAGAAUAUCUUGAUGCCAAGAUGGUGCCACGAUGGUUAGCGACCAGCACGCAGUCUGGUGUGUUCGGCUUUAAUUUCUUUUCUUUCAGCGUGUAUGAUCCGCCGAGAGGGAAUCUGCAGUCCUGGCAAUUGACUCAUUUUCCUCCAGGUAGCUUGCCAAUUCUGGAUUCUUUGCGAGGGAGACCCAUGAGUUGUAGUCCUCACCGUAACUUUCCCAUUUCACUAAAACCUCGCCUUCUCUCCUCUCUUUGACCUUCUCGAUCGCCCACAGCUUCUUUCGUAGAUUUUCCUCUCUUUAUCUUCGUCUUUUAGUAAGAUGUCGAUGAUUUCGGCAUCACAAAACAUUUCCUUUUCUGUAUUUUUAUCCAAGCGUCCAGAAAGUGUUAUGAAUGUCAUCUUUGCCCAGAUACAGCAAGUUAGGGGAAAACCGGUCUCCCAAAUAUGGAAUGCAUUAACCAUAUAUGAGAGAGUAAACGCCAACUUUUUCAAUUCAAUGUUCCAUAUGCCGUGGCUUGUAGUGGUUGAAAAAACUGGCUUUGCAAUAACUGCAAGAUCCUUGACCACGUUCACUCUAAAAGAAAACAGAACAUGGUCUAUCCUUUCAUCUUAAAGAUCUAGAAUGCCGACUCACACGUUAUGAUUUAUACGUCCAAUAACAUUCAGUAUUUGUAACCAAACAUACCAUGUAGAAUAGUCACGCGGUGGAGAAGUUGACGGUGAUCCAAGCGAAUAAAUACUAAGGAUAACUUGAUGGUGAUCCAAGCGAAUAAAUACUUCAAAAGUUAUUGCAAAACAAAUUAGCAAGUACUCCAAGCUUUGAUACUUCAAGCGAAAUAAAUUCAAAAUACACAACAAAAACUAAUACACCAAUUGUGAUUGGUCCUAUAUGCACCAAUCAAAACAGAUAUUUACUAAACAAGGGAUGUGAUUGGUACGAUACCGUCGAAACCGUCAAUUAGCUACGAACCAAUCACAGCAAAGGUUACGAGAAGCGCUACACUACUGCUUGGUGAUUGGGUUAUUUGGCUAUGCUAAAUUAUUCUCUUCUCUUGUUGACUGGUUUCAGGUCAAGGAAACUACAUAGUAUAUUUCUCGCUGCAUGUCAUUUCCCGAUUGCCUUCAUACGGAGAGCCAAAACUUGUUUACCUGGAAUCUUUUACUUUAGUCCGAUGUAUUGAACUUCGAAUCUGAAUGCUGUGAAUGACACUCUGUAGUGACACUUUAUGAUCCAAGUGGAACCUAAGCCUUGUCUUUUAGUAACAUUUUCAAGAAGUUCUAAAUCUCCAACACAAAAACGACAACACGCGGGUUGCUGAGGAUGCGACUGUAACUCUUUCGUCUNAAUAAUAACUCUUCCAGCAACUUUCUCUCAAGAAUCAGAAUCAGAGUUGGUUCGGUAGUGAGAAUUCUCCUUUCUUUGAUGUGCUAUUUUUUCGUGACUAGCACUGGUUUGCAGUUCAGUCGUAGCAUUAUCUUCCUUCAAUAAAGCUUCUUCUUGGUUAUAAUAGGAACCCAAGUCACUGUGUGCCAUUCACAACAAUUUAUAUGUGUCAGUUUUCUGGCCCUUUUUUCUUUUAGACUUCAAACUUUUUGGUAAAAAUGGAUUCGUACGCUUUCGGUCUUGUGCUGACAUAUUACUCAACCAUCAUAAAAGUGACUAGAAAAUUAUAACCGAGAAGUACAACAACCAUAACAAGUAUCAAAAACUCUCCACUCGUGGCAAAUGUCUGAAAUAGAGGAUUGUCGAGCCGAUGAUCUAAAAUUGGUCUAAAAUGCUCAGUAUUGAGCGAAUGACCUAGCUGGUAAAUGUAAAAAUGUAAAUGAUGCUCAGUCAUAGCAACUUGAUGUAAUAGCGACGUGUGACAGGUCGUUGACAAGUGAUGUCAACAGAUAAUUAAAGACAAUUAAAGCUAAAAACCGUAAUUUAUUUUUUACUNGCUAUUAAAAAUCACUAGCGAAAAUGUUUUGGGGGAAAUUUAAGAAUAUUAUAUAUUUUAUCGGAAAAUGUAAAAAUGCAAAAAUCGAUACUUUUGAGCAAUUUUGGGGUUCCCUCCCGCNGGGGUUCCCUUUUACCUUAAAAACCGCAUUAAGUCAACAUCAAUGGUUACUUCUUCAUCUAAGUUAGACUAGACAUUUUUCCCCUUUUUUGCUUGAUGUGACUCAUCCGGCCUUCGAUUUCCUGGAGCAUAAAGACAUUGUUUGAAUGUCUGCAAAGAUUGCUACUCUAAACGGAGGAAGAACUUUUCACACAAUUGCCACAUUUCACUCAGAACUUAAAACAUUGACAGGAUUUACAUAUGAACUACAGAACACGAUUUAAAAAGAAAGCAAAACAAAAACUUCAAACUUAAAUUUUAGUUGCAACAGCAGCAAUGUGGCUGAAGAUGAUUCCCAGUAUUUCUCAUAUAUGUCUCUAUAGAGUAGGUGCAUGUUACGUCAUUGCCGCCAUCUUGUUUGACGAUAACAAAGCAUUCAUUAGCUUCUCUUGUUAGAUCAGCCAAGAUGGCGGCAUAUCUCAAGGGAUUAUGAGUCACAUGGUUGCACAUACUCUAUUGACUGAGGUGAAAUCGAAAUUAAAUAAUAUCAAGCAUAAUAGAAACAAUUGAGGUUUCUAGUAUAACAACAAAUUACAUCUGACAAACCAAACCUAUUGAAAUAACACUUGGUUAAGGUAUUGAGGUUGACUUUGCAACGGAUUAAACUGCAGGUUGCAGGUUUGCAGCACACAGUACAUUGUGACUGAUCUUUUCUUCUGUGUAUGUCUUCUUGCCUUGUCUAAAAGUGUGAUUAUGCUAUUUUGAUAUUUGGGAGCACGCGAUGGGAAACGUAUAAUGGGCCUAAGACAGAAAACCAUGCAAUCUGAUUUCCAGCUUCGUAACCANCUAUAAAAAGUUAUUCAGUGUGCGUGUGUGAUGCAAUAAAGUAUUGUCCCAAAAGGGGAAAAUAUUGUAUGGAUGAAGGCUAAUAUACCCUGAUGAAUGCCGAUGAAACCUGAUGACUGCUGAUGAACCCUGAUGAAUGCUGAUGAAACCUGAUAAAUGCUGAUGAACCCUGAUGAAUGCUAAUGAACCCUGAUGAAUGCUGAUAAACCCUGAUGAAUGCUGAUGAACCCUUAUGAAUGCUAAUGAACCCUGAUGAAUGCUAAUGAACCCUGAUGAAUGCUGAUGAACCCCAAAGAAGAAGAAUAAAGUAGAAGAAAUGAAAAAAGACACUGGUAUGACUGCGGUUUUUGAUACUCUGCGACCUCAGUAGUUAGAAGCUUCACGUUGAAAUUUGGUUUUUCACUGCGUUCAAUCAAGAAUAGGGACCUUAAGCUGCAGGACGGCACCGUUGGCGACAACGUCGGCGAAGUUGAGGCGCUUCAGCCUUCUAUCGUAUUUAUAUUUCGUGUUUACCUUGUAUUUUACUCAAUAAGCAUCCCCGUUUUAGAGUGAAAUAACGUCUUUUGGGAGCGCUUUACUUAUAACAAAAAUCAGCAAAGAUAAGCUUUUGGCGUAGCCGUUCUCUUUAGUACGUAAAAAUAGGACAUUUCACGUCUUACUUUCAGCAUAAGACGGCAAUGAUGCACAGUGUUUCGUACAUUCCAACGAGUAUCUAUUGAAUAGCGCAAUUACUGCUAUUGUAUGGUUGCCGUCGUUGUCCUUUUUUCAGUAUCCUGUACUAGUAUUUUAUACAAGCAACACAACAGCUAUGUCUUUAGAAUACCAAUCAAAUGGACAGUCCCUGAGGUUAUUAGUUCAUCCUAUACAAAACAUUUAAGGGUGGCCCUCAACACUUUGUUGGGAACCACUUUUCCUUAAGGGGAGGGUAGGUUUGAACUUUUGAUCUCAAGGACCUUUGUCUAGCUUACCCUAAGGUCAAAAAAAUUUACAAAAAGACUUUUCAAAAAUUUAUGUGAAUUUUUUACUUUUUUAAAGCCAAUUGGAUUUUAUCUUUUUCUGUAUUCUUGGUUGACUUGUCCAGUUUUUCCUUUAAGACCUGACCACCUUACCUGGGAUUUGAACCUUGAUAUCGCCACUUGCCUUGAAGUCUCUCAUACUGUACUGUAUACCAUCAGUUAGAUUGUUGAAUGGUUAGGUAUCAAUGUACCUUAAAUCAUAUAGCUCUUUAAUAACCUGAAUGAAUUACUCAAUUAAAGUUCUUAUGAAUACU
rnacentral:misc_RNA from 1 species